rnacentral:lncRNA from 1 species
CUCAGCUGCUGCGGCAAUGGCUGGCUGGCAGCCCAGCUGCACCAGGGCCGUGUGGACGUGGACGCCACCCAGGACCUGAUCUGCCGCUUCAGCUCCCAGGAGGAGGUGUCCCUGAGCCACGUGCGUCCCGAGGACUGUGAGAAGGGGGGACUGAAGAACAUCAACCUCAUCAUCAUCCUCACCUUCAUACUGGUCUCUGCCAUCCUCCUCACCACGCUGGCCGCCUGCUGCUGCGUCCGCCGGCAGAAGUUUAACCAACAGUAUAAAGCCUAAAGAAGCCGGGAGACACUCUAGGUAAAAAGCCUCACCCAGAUGACCCCCAUCCCUCAUACCAUGGAGUCAUGAGCUGUCUGGGAAGAAUGGACGUGCUGGGACCAACUCAAGACCUUGUUUUGCUGUCUUCAUCAUCUUACCUGUGCUUGGCCCACAGUCUGGCUCAUGAUGUGGGCUCAGUAAUGUGCGAGAAAGUGAAAAUGCCACUCUCUCCACCCCAUUUUACAGAGGAGAACACCAAGGCCCAGAGGAAGUUAAGGGAGAGUCAAUGGGCAGAGCCAGGGCUAGGCCCUGGUGGUGUGUGGAGCACCCAGGCAGACCCAGUCCUGGUUGGGAUCACACCCACGGGUGCUACUGCACGUAACACUCCUCCUUAGGCCUGGAGGCCAAGGUGUGGGUCCCCACGCCUGAUCUUUGAAAACACUACACAGGGCUGCUGUCACUUCCCAGGGCCCAGGCCUCAGCCCAGGCCUCGGGACCAACUCUUUGUAUAACCUACCUGAAUGUAUUAAAAACUAAUUUUGG